GGCGCGUGAGAGAACGCUGGCUAAGGAACUCGGCAAAAUAGCACCGUAACUUCGGGAGAAGGUGUGCCCGCCGACGUAAGGAACUUGCUUCCUGAGCGUUGGCGGGUCGCAGUGAAAUGGGGGUUGCGACUGUUUACUAAAAACACAGGACUGUGCGAACUCGUAAGAGGACGUAUACGGUCUGACGCCUGCCCGGUGCUGGAAGGUUAAGGGGAGAAGUUAGCGCAAGCGAGGCUUCGAACCGAAGCCCCAGUAAACGGCGGCCGUAACGAUAACGGUCCUAAGGUAGCAAAAUUCCUUGUCGGGUGAGUUCCGACCUGCACGAGGGCGUAACGACAUCCCUACUGUCUCGGCCAGCGACUCAGCGAAAUUGUAUCGGGGGUGAAGAUACCCUCUACCCGCGGCAAGACGGAAAGACCCCAUGAACCUUUACUGCAACUUGGCAGUGAGGUUCGGAACAGUCUGCGUAGGAUAGGUAGAGGCUUUGAAGUCGGGAUUCCGGUCUCGAUGGAGCCGUCGUUGAAAUACUACCCUGGCUUUUCUGGACUUCUAACCUAGGCCCCUGAACGGGGUCGGGGACACUGCCUGGUGCAGUUUGACUGUGGCGGUCGCCUCCCAAACAGUAACGGAGGCGCGCGAAGGUACCCUCAGGCUGAUUGGAAACCAGCCGGCGAGUGCAAUGGCACAAGGGUGCUUAACUGUGAGAGGGACACCUCGAGCAGGUGCGAAAGCAGGCCAUAGUGAUCCGGUGGUCCCGCAUGGAAGGGCCAUCGCUCAUCGGACAAAAGGUACUCUGGGGAUAACAGGCUGAUCGCGCCUGAGAGUCCAUAUCGGCGGCGCGGUUUGGCACCUCGAUGUCGGCUCAUCGCAUCCUGGGGCUGGAGCAGGUCCCAAGGGUUUGGCUGUUCGCCAAUUAAAGCGGUACGCGAGCUGGGUUUAGAACGUCGUGAGACAGUUCGGUCCCUAUCUGCCGUGGGCGCAGGAUACUUGAGAGGAGCUGUUCAUAGUACGAGAGGACCUGAACGGACGCACCUCUAGUGUUCCGGUUGUCAUGCCAAUGGCAUAGCCGGGUAGCUAUGUGCGGAACGGAUAACCGCUGAAAGCAUCUAAGCGGGAAGCCGGCCUCAAGACAAGGUAUCCCGGGGCAUAAGCCCCCUGAAGGCCCCUUGAAGACUACAAGGUGAUAGGCGGGAGGUAGAAGCGCAGCGAUGCGCGGAGCUGACCCGUACUAAUAGGCCGUGCGGCUUGACC
rnacentral:rRNA from 1 species